GAUCAGAUAAAUAGGACUUAAUCUGCUGGAAUAAAGGAUGAGUUUCAGGAAUAUCAUCAAGAUUAAUAUUCGGAGUUUGCGAUUGUGAGGACGAUGCCUCCUGAGAGAUUCGGGUAUUAACCAAAGUUCGAUUCCCAUGUUGGAUUACAGGGAAAUUAGAACUUGUUGUGCUAUAAGCAGAGUUUCUGGUACUUCGUGGAUAAGAAGGAUUCGUUCGUCCUCCAUGGUGCAAAUAUGCAGGAUUUUGAUUUCUACCUCGACCUCUUCCUCUGGCUAUUUGCCAAGGGGGAUCAGCCAUACUGCAAAGAAGCAUCAUUAUUUAGUCUUUUAUAUCAAUAUCAUACCAGUCAUUGUCAGUAUUCUCUGGGGUGGUAUACCACCAUAAUUCAUUAUGUAUUAGUUGGAACCACCAUAGGUCAUUCAAAACAAGCUUAUGAAUGAGAGUUUCUAAUAUCAAUUUCUGAAUAUCUUUAGGUAAAGGAAUACUUUGAAGAAUUGCAAGAAUUGUUUUUUCAGAGAGAAAACGGGUAUAGAAAGUCAUAUUAAAUAUUCGCGUGAUAAAAAAUCAGGUAAUGAAUUUUCACUACCCUUUUUAUACUGAAUUUCGUAAUCUUUUUAUACUGUAUUUCAAAGUCAAAGGGGGCUAGUUGAGCCUGCCACCUGGCAAAUAUUAAUUUAGAAGCAUCGUGUUUAAAAUCUUUAUCAAACAUGAAUUUAACAGAUUGAGCAUCCGUUCUGAUGAUGAAUUUUUGAUUAUAUAAAUCAUCUUGGAAUUUUAAUACACAUUUAACAAUAGUAAGCAUUUCAUGGGCUAUCGUAGCGUAUUUCUUUUGGCUAUCGGUCCAUUUACCUGAAUAAAAACGAAUUAAACAUUCUGUCUUUGUAUGGGGAUUAACUUGUUUAAGUAUUCCACCAUACCCAAUAUUGGAAGCGUCGGUUUCAACAAUUUUUUGCCAAUUAGGAUUAGCAAGAGAAAUACAGGGAAGAGAUUGAACCCGAGCUUUAAUUACCUUUACCAAAUUAGUGUGGGCUGGAGUCCACGGAGUUUUGUGAUCCUUUUUCAGUCUGUCAUACAGAGGGGCUAAAUCUCUAGACAAAUUUUUAUAAAAAGGAGAAAUAUAAUUGAGACUACCAAGGAACCUUUGAAGCUGUUUUUUAUCGAUAAUUUCAUCGGGGAAUUUUGUAGCGAAUUCUAAGACCCGUUGGAUCGGUUCAAUAGAGCCUUGACAAAUAUUAUGACCUAAGAAUCUAACAUUAGUCUGGAAUAAACUCAUUUUUGGUUUGGAGAUGACUAAGCCAUUUUGAAUAAUUACUUGCUUAAAAAUAUGCAGAUGUUUAAAAUGAUUGUCAAGAGUUUUGGAGAAUACCAGAAUAUCAUCAAUAUACACAACAAUGAAGUCCAUGUAUGGAUUAAAAAUAUCAUUCAUAAUUUUCUGAAAUUCAGAAGGGGCGUUUUUCAAACCAAAAGGCAUAACGUUCCAUUCAUAUUGUCCAAACGGAACAUUAAACGCGGUUUUAUAAGUAUGAGUUUUAUCAAUUUGAAUUUGCCAAUAUCCUGAUUUUAAAUCAAAUUUGGAAAAUAUGUUAGCGUCAUAUAAUCGGGAAAGUAAAUCUUUUUUAUUUGGAAUAGGAUAUCGAAUCCAUUUUAAAACUUUGUUAAGAGGUUUGUAAUUGAUGACUAACCGAGGUGUACCCCUUUCUUUUUCGGCAGCAUUGUUAACAUAAAAAGCGGUACAAGACCAAGGGGAUUUUGAGGGUUUAAUGAGACCCUUUUGCAGGAGUUGAUCAAUCUCCCUUUUGCAGAAUUCAACUAACUCUGCAUUCAUUUGACAGGGUCGAGAUUUUGUUGGAAUUUUUUCUUCAGUGAAGCCGUCCUCAUAAGGAAGCGAAACAAUAUGCUUUUUUCUAUUCCAGAAAGCAUUUGGAUGGUCAGCACAAAUAUCAUUCAUUAAUUGUGAAGAAACAGUCUUUAAUUUUUCUUGUACUUUAACAGAUUUUAUAAUCUCAGGGGUAGUAAUACUCAGUACUUCUAAUUGUAAAAAAUUGAGCUGUUUUUGCUUUAUAUUAAUAAGAGCAUUAAUAUCACGAGUUACAGGUUGAGUAACAAAAGAAUAAGAAAUAGGCUGAUUUUUAUAAGUAGCUCUAAAUCCCUUUUCGUCUAUAUGAGUGUAGGGAUAUAUAGCAUUUAUAAACGGGGUUCCUAAAAUAAUAGGAGGAUAAAUCUGAUUUUUCACUAAAAAGAAAAAGUGAGGAAUGCAUAUCUUGUCACGACAAAUAUGAGCAUGAGGCAGUUUAUAAUUAAUGUCAAGUGAGUGACCAGUUGCAGAUUUAACGAGGUGAGUAGUUUUUUCAAAAUAUUUUGUAGGGAUUAACCCUUCUUGAAUACAACUAACGUCUGCCCCACUGUCAAUCAUGGCGACAUUAGUGAUAAAGAAUUCCUUAUUAACUAAAAUGGUACAAUUAAUAUACCAUUUAUGAGCAGUAACGAUUUGCAACAUUCCUAGAAAGGAAUCAUUUUGCAGACUAUCAAUAUUAACCGUUUGACUAAGAUCAGUAUUUGUAAAAUCUUUUUCGUUUGGCUUGUGACCUGAAGAAGAACAAUCAGUUUCUUCAAGUUUCGAAAUGCGAUGCUCAGUAAUUAUCUGAUUUUGUUUUAAAGAAAUAAUUUCCCUUUUUAGUUUUUCAACUUCGAUUUUUAAAUCAUUAAAAGUGGUAUCGCGACCGGGAAUUUUGCUUAAAGCUAACCUUCGAUGAACUUCAUCCAAAGAAUAUGCCAUAGGCUGAGUUUCAAAAUUAUCUCGUGCUGAAACAGUAGAACUAGAAGAUUUUGGAGUGGCUAAAUGCAAAAUUUUGUCACGAAGCUUUUCGUCCGUGACUUCCUUUAACAAUUCGAGAACAUUUUCAGAAGUAAUGGUUUUAACAUCUAAAUCAACAUCUUCAAAUUGAGCUUGAAGUUUGUACAUUACUUCAUCACAAUUGCAAUCAUGAUUAUCACAA
rnacentral:lncRNA from 1 species